rnacentral:rRNA from 1 species
UACGUAGGCAGCGAGCGUUGUUCGGAGUUACUGGGCGUAAAGCGUGCGUAGGCGGUGGCCCAAGUCUGGUGUGAAAUCUCCCGGCUUAACCGGGAGGGUGCGCCGGAAACUGGGUCGCUGGAGUACUGGAGAGGCAGGCGGAAUUCCUGGUGUAGCGGUGAAAUGCGUAGAUAUCAGGAGGAACACCCGCGGUGUAGACGGCCUGCUGGACAGUCACUGACGCUGAGGCACGAAAGCGUGGGGAGCAAACAGGAUUAGAAACCCCCGUAGUCC